rnacentral:lncRNA from 10 species
AGUGAGCCCCAGAUCCAGGGACUAAGGCAGCAGGGGUGAAAGCAGGCAGCAGGAAGUACCUCACCUUUCAGGAUGGGGGCCGCCAUGACAGACGGCGGGAUCCGGCCAGCUGGCCUACGCGGUGCUUGCGAGCCUGGCGGCGCGCGCGGGCACUGGGCAUGCGCGGGGUGAGCGCGCCGCCGUCACCGCGCUCCGCUGAAUCCGCGUUUCCGGGAUUUCUCUGUAGGUGAGGCGGGAGGCUGGAGGGAGCUGAGCCCCCGGGGAGGGGGCCCGAUUCCGCCUCGCCGCGCCUCUGGCUGCUGGGCCGUGGGUUUUUCUCUUCUCCUGGGAGUAAGGAGGACGACGGCCCCUAACCCCUGAAUUAGCCUUCUAUUUCCAUUAGUGACUUAGAAGCUACCCGGCGCCUCAUCUGGGCUCACCUGAGCUGAGGAUCAGGAAGGGGAGGGGGCACAGUCAUUCCCUCGCGGACGCGGCGGGACCCCAGCGGACGGCUUUGUGCGGACUUUCGGCACCGUUAUGCCCCCCUAGCCCGACACCACCUGGGGCUGGCGCGCCACGUUACUGUUCAGGGCCAGACGCACCGCCCUGCCUGCUCCGGGGAGCCGGACCUCCGAUCCCGGGGAUGGGGGACCCCGAGACCUCAGACCCAACGGAGGGGACUCUGAUACCUCAGACCCCACGCGGGGACCCCGAGGCUUCAGACCCCCACAGGGUGACCCCGAGAUCUCAGACCCCCGCAGGAGUACCUCCAGACCUCAAAUCCCCAGUAAGGGAAUGAAAGAGACUUCGGAUCCCUGAGGCAGCAAAUCCCUGUAGGGGCAUCCCAGGACUCAGGUCACCGCGGGGUGAACCCAGACCUCACAUUCAGGCAAUCCCCAGGACGCCGAUCGGCUGGCACUACCCACUGUCCCGGCCACCCCCCCUGGAGCUCAAAGGCUUGGCCCUCCAGCUGCUCCACCCUGCCGGCAACCAGGCUCAAACCUGCAGCCCGCGGAUCCCCUGCCCCGGAAGCAACCAGAUUCGCGGGAGGUUACCUGACUGAUCCAAGGUGAUACAGCUGGUAACUGAUGGAGAUGUUGGUAGUGAAAUUCAUGUACUUUUAGUUCUUUCUAUGGAAUCUAGAGGUAGAAUACAUGUAAAAGAAUAUCGACUACCGUCUACUCAGGUCUCUGUUUUAUCUGUUUAUUCAUUCACUCUCAGCUUUUAAUAGGAUCCAAUGAGCCCUCUGUGGUUCUGAAGAAUUGCCUUGAGUAUAUGCAGCCUCAAAAAACCCACUUCCUAGGCUCAGUCUUUGAUCAAUAUUUAUCAUUAUCACCAGUUAUUGUUCUAAUAAACUCUACUCUGGAAAUAUGGUGUUAUGGUUUACUUGGGAGUGUGAGUUCAGGGCAUCAUUGAAGACUCACGUACUUUUACUGAGAAAGUGACAUUGAUCUCUGUAGAUUUUGAAUUAAAUGAUAUGAUGAAGUAUAUAAACCAAUUACUUUUGGUCAAGGUGGUAAAAAAAGUUUAGUAUUUGAUAGAUUCUUCAUCUCCACGAUCACAAAUAUUUUCUCCUAGGAUUUCUUCUAGAAAUAUUACUGCUUUAGGUUGUAUAUCAGGUCUAGGUUCUACUUUUUUUUUUUUUUUUCUCCAGGCAGUUUCUCACUCCGUUGCCCAGGCUGGAAUGCAGUGGUGUAAUCACAGCUCACUGCAGCCUCAACCUACUGGACUCAAAGGAUAAGAUCUGCUUUUAAUUAAUUUUUGUAUACGGAAUAUAAAUGGUUGGAGAAGACAGACAAAGAGAACCGCUCUUCUGUAACAACGGGAAGGUGAAACCCCUUUUUGGACUGGCAAUGGUGAAAUCUAAGCAUGGCUCCAAUUUGAGUAGGGGACACGGAUACUGUUGACCUCUUUGCUGAAGGGGAGAA